rnacentral:lncRNA from 1 species
CUUGCCAUACUCAAAGAGACAACAACAAGUGUUGCUCUCAGGACAAGUGUAGUAACUGUCACAUUGGGUUGGAGGCUUGAUGGGAGAUGGAGGUGAAGGUCCCGGGUUUGGUGGGUUUUCGCCAUUCUUGAUUGGGUAUGAAGGUUCAAUCGCGAUUCCACAUUUUCCAGAUGAAGACGCGAUGUUACGCGCCAUCUUUAAGUAUCCACUCUCUCCCCAACUUUUACCCCAUGAGUUUCUCACAAUCCAGUAGUCUUUGCCGUUCUCGGUUCCGUAUCCAACCGCCACAACUCCGUGGUCUAGUUGUGUUCCACAAGUUCCAUCAAAUAUACCCUUCAGAGAAAAAAGAACACAUCAAUACAUUAGAACAAAGGUGUGUACCAAUAUGACAUUUUGAGACCAAAAAUAGUGAAAAUAAUCAACCAACUAUGAGAUGCAAUUGUUUUAUGCGCCAAUUUCUGCGUUUACAUAUGAAUAAAACUUCACAUUUUCAAAAACUAAUAACAUUUUUUAAGUUUUUCGUCGAAUUCUUUUUGUAAAGUGUAAACGCAAACACCAAACAGAGUUUCCUCUUCCGUUUGUAUUUGGUGUUUACAAAUAACAAAAGAAGAAUAAAAUGGAUGCAUGUAUAUGGAUAAAAAUUAACAAACUAUCAAACACCUAAGAACUAUGAGAAGAUGGUUAAAUUUGUACCGAAUCAUAGAGCUGGAACGCACGACCACCAGCCUCAAUGGCGACGCUAACGGGUUGAUGAGCAACUGCUUUCUUCAAUGAUUCCUCGCUGUAAGUG